GGUUGCCAGCUAGGUUAGUUACACUAUUUGAUUCUGUGUCCACUCCUGCUCACUCACAAGGCAUUGCAACAACCAGCACACAGAACUCAUCGGUGGCUGCCCCAAAGUGUUUCCGCUGGGCAACAUUCACUUUUGCUUCCUCGUGGUUUGUGAAGCACCAUCUGGAACCCUCCACGUCACACCUUGUGUUUGGUCUGGGCAUCGUGUGUGAUGUAAACGUGGAAAAGCGACAUCUUCCAGGGUCCGCAGCUGGAAGGGCCCCUCAAGCUGAGCUCAGCCAUGUGUCCUGUAAAUUGGGCUGCCGGUGAUACCAUGAGCUUCUAGCAGCUUCUUACCUAUUUACACACCUGAGAAGAACUCUUGCUCACAUAGGUAAUCUGCUAUCUCACGAAUAUUAUUCAGGAAGACGAGCUUGAAGAAAGGAGGAAUAAAUGUAAAGGAAAAGCUUAGAAACAGUUUCACAAAGCCGGGAGCCUGUGAAAUGGGUCUGUCGCACCCGUGCCCACAUGAUCCUUCGUGACUCUCUUGUGGUGGUGACACCAUCAGAACACCUGCCCCGGAGUCCCCCAGAAGAGCCGCUCACGGAGCUGCGGAGAGCUGAGGUUUCGCAGUUUAACGAGCUCUGCAGGUGCGAGCAACACUCAGGACAGAGCGGGAGAACUACUGCACUAUAGCAAAGCUUUCUUUUCUGGUCGGUGCCCACACUGUUCCAGGAAACUAGAAAGGUGCACGGGCUUCAGAGAAAGAAGGCUUCCUUGCUCUGAUAACUUCCAACUGUGGUCAGGGAGCCAGCAGACCUAACCUCAGUAUCUCCACAUCCGUCAAGCAGGACAUUAGGACCAACAAGCCUCCUUGGGGAGUUUACAGAUGAUGGAUGGGAACCGCCCUAUUUGCUGGGAGCACGCUGAAAAUGGAAUUCACACCCAUUUUGUCUCUGUGCAGUGUCACAAACUCAGGCAGCGACUUCUGUGGCUCGGCCUGACUGUGACGGAACGCUUCACGAACUUCAGGACCUCAAAGAGGAAAUCUCACAUUAAGUGAAACAUGAGCCAGUCAACCAUUGACCAUAAUAUGUCCAGAUGAUGGCUUGUGAAUCUGGGCUGGAGGGAGACCCUGCCAGAAAUCUGUGACAUCACUGCUGACGCCCAUGGCAGACAGACCUUUGUUGAUAAGAUGCAGAGAAGCACAAGAGAACUCUUGCUAGAAAGGGUUUGAGACAUACUUCAUUUGAUUUGUUUAUUGUCUUUACAAAUUAAAUUACAGUGCAUACCAAUGCUCAGU